rnacentral:piRNA from 1 species
UAAGUGAAAGUCAGCGAUGUGGUGG